rfam:Actinobacteria bacterium 13_2_20CM_2_71_6 13_2_20cm_2_scaffold_649, whole genome shotgun sequence.
CACAGCCGACAGGGGAGCGCACAGCGCUGAGAGUGCGGCGGCAGCCGCAGACCCUCGAACCUGAUCUGGGUAAUGCCAGCGCAGGGAGCUCGGGACCUCCAGCCG